rnacentral:lncRNA from 1 species
UCUCUUUUCUUCUGUUCACAAUCUGUUCACCCUCCAGGUCUCUUUUAAAACAUGUUCUCUACAGAGUGCUUAUCUUGCAUUUCCAGCUGUCAGAUCUGUUUCUAUAUUCUGCUGGAUUUUCACUAGUACAUUAAACUUAACAGAUAUAAAAGUGAACUCAUUCUAUUUUCCCCAAACCAAUUCUUUCUCUCGACUUUGAAAUUUUGACUUAUGAUAGCAUCAUUCUUUCAGUCACUGGGAUUGGAAACUGGCAGAGACAUAGUUGUGAUUUUUUUUUUCCUGUUGAUCACCCUUCCCAGUCAUUUCUCCAACAAGUAGCCACUUUUUUAGAUUCAAAAUCCUUUCAUCUUUAUCUCUGGACAUUGUCUUGCUUGUCUCUUCUCUGUGCCAAUUGCUAGUUCCUCUAGCUUGAAAGAGAACACGCUUCCCAGGUUGUCUUUGAUAUUCCCAUUUCUUCAUAAUGUAAUUUAUAUACCCACUCCAAUUUUUACAGUAACUGCUAUAUUAAUCUUCCCUAAGCAUAGAAUUAAUCAUCUAAUUCUCCAAUGCAAAAUGGUUUUCCAUUUCCUAAUAAAUUAAAUGAUAUACAUCCAACCCAAAAUAUAAUUACCAUUUCCCUUUCUAAACUUAUGCCCCAUUAUUUCAUUACUUCUUCUUUUUUUACAAAGUGCAUUAGGUUUUUUUAAAUGGCUGCACCUGCAGCAUAUGGACAUUCUCAGGCCAGAGGUCAAAAUGAAGCUGCAGCUGGAGCCUACGUCACAGCCAUGGCAACACCACAUCCAAGCUGCAUCUGUGACCUAAGCCACAGCUUGCAGCAAUGCUGGAUCCUUAGUGCACUGAGUGAGGCCAGGGAUUGAAUCCACAUCCUCACAGACACAGUGGUGGGUUCUUAACCUGCUGAGCCACAAUGGGAACUCCAGAUUUAAUUUUUAAAAAGUUAAAUUUUUGAAUAAAGAAUUCUUGCAAAAAGCCCACAACUUUAUGGAAGAUUAGGGGAAAAGACAGUUGGAUCAUAGGUGGACAAACAGAAAAAAUAAAGGUCUGAAUUGUUCAUACUUAAAGGAAUUCAAUUUUUAUUAAAUAAGAGUUAAGUCCCAUUAUUUCUUUGAGUAGGCCUGUGUGUAUUUUCCACUCACAUUAUAAUAUGCAUCAAAUUCUAAAUACUCCUUUCAUUUUUUUCAAAACUUAUCAUUUAUAUGGAAGUUCCCAGGCUAGGGGUGGAAUUGGAGCUACAGCUUCCGGCCACAGCCACAUCCACAGAAACCCAGGAUCUGAGCCACAUCUGCAAUGUACAGCACAGCUCAUGGGCAACACCGGAUCCUUAACCCACUGAGUGAGGCCAGGGAUUGAACCCACAUCCUCAUGGAUCCUAGUCAGGUUCUUUAACCACUGAGCCACAAAGGGAACUCCCCAUUUAUUAAUUUCUUAUACUAUUUCCUCUGCCUGGUACAUUUUAUUUUCCAUUUCUAUUUAUUGAAACUUUAAAAUUGCCCCUCAGUGUGAAGCCCUCCCUGAUUUUUCCUGACUUCUGAAAUUAGAAGUGUUUGCCUCUCUAGAAAAAUUCACUUCCUAAUUAAAAGCAAGCUGGAAACUAGAGAUGUGCUAACAGGUAAACUUAGUGAUCAUCUGGUAGGGAAGGGUAAAUAGUUAAGUUAAGGUCAGUUACUGGGUUGCUUAAACAUAAAAUACUAAAUACUAACCGGGUGCAGCUAAUUCUACAGUAUUGGGAAAAAAUAUGAGAAGGCAAUAAACUAGAUAAUGCAACAGAGAUUAUGUCCUAUUUUGAAUCUCGGUUAACUGUGCCAUUCUUGUUUACAUCCCCCCUUCCUUUUUUUUCAGUAAUAAAAUUGACAAUUCCAAUACCCCUAUCCACAACAGUGACUCCUCAUGGCAGGAGUUCUUAUGGUUGAAACAGGAAUGGGUCAGUAGCAUCUUCACUGUGGCGAACAUAUUCAAAUCUUAGAGCAAGUGUCACACAUUUAUUACAGAGCAUUCACUUCAACUCCCACGCUCAAAUUUCCUCCCUGACCAAGAUACUCAGGAGUGUACAUUAUGUCUCACACAAAAUGAUAAGCUUUUUGAAGGCAGGUACUAUUCACUGUUGCAACUUCCAGAUGACAUACUGCAGCCUAUGGUGCAGAGUUGAAACUAAAGAAACUUCUGUUAUGAUUAAAUGAACAGGCAAUUGAAAAAUUUCCAUAUUUUUCCUUAAUUAUUGAAUUAGGGUAAUUUUUCCUACUUGAAUAUAAUGUAAGAUAUUCCUAUUUUAAGGCUGAGGGCAGAUACCAUGGUUUCAUGCUUCGUUCUGAGAAUUACUUAACAAAAUAUCUGAUUCUUCUCUCUUACUUAUUAGAAGAUUGAAGCCUGGAAAAUCUUAAUUUUAAUCAUUGACAAUGGAGUAUAGUUUUAUUCCAGACACUAAAGUCUUUUAAUCUUUAAAUUACUUUUCUUUGGCAAAUAUAAUGAGAUCUUAAAGAGGGAAAAGAAGAAAAUAUGAAUGAGAAUAGCUCAUUGCUUACAAUUCUUAUUAAAGGGAAAUUUAUGCCUCACACAGAUUAUUUUGUUAAGAGACAAAAUUAAAUAUUUGACAAAAUGUCUGAACCAAUAUUUCAUUUUCUUUUCAAAAGUAGUUGAAUAUCCAUCAAAAUACAAGUCUAGGAAAAAUGCAAGAGGGACUUAGUAUUAAUGAUGUAUUUUAAAGGAAAUGUUAAUUAAAUUAUCUAUGAACUUAUUUCAAGCCCAAGAUGUAACAAAAAUAUCCCUCUGGACAAGCAAAAAUUUAUAUUACUUCUAAUCUCAGUUUGGACACAUGUUAAAGCGUAAUUAUUUUAACAAUAUCAACUAUUUGAGUCCAACUCUGUAAUAGGCUUUUUCUUAGUAUAUUGCAUACAUUAUAUUAAUGGAUUAAGUGCUACCAAAUGCUUUACAUGUAUUAUCUCUAAUAUCUCAAUAAUUUUGCAGUGAAGAUAUCAUUAUCUUUACUGGAUAUAGAAGACACCAAAGCUCUUAUAAAUUAGUGCCAGAUUAGAUAGGGAUAUAAGUAUUCCUAACUCCAAAGAUUUUUUAUGUCAUCACACAGAGACUAUUUUCCAAUCCUACUGAAGGAUUUUACGUAGAAUGUUGUGAUAAGUCUUAAGUACUUUAUCACCUCUUUUGCUUUCCUUUAUGCUUAGCUAUAAGUCAAGUAAAGAUAGGGUUAAGAAGAGAUGACCUAUUGCCCAUCAAUUAAGAACCUUUCCUUUAUAAAACAAUCUCUCUUACUAUACUGUAACACCCACUUUGAUUUGGAUAUAUUUGAUAAAAUGCUUCAUACUGUCUCACACAUACACCAUGUACAAGUACAAAUGCAAAUUAUGUUUUGUCUAGUUAGAGUCCAAGAAGAGGGACAAAACUGGAUAUGAGUAUUUUUCAAAAACAUAGGAACACAAACAAAAUGUAGGCAGAAAUUUAAAAUCUCUGGUAUAAAACAAAAGUAGAAAUUUUACUCUACAAGUGCUUUAAAGUAAGAAUAUCCAAAAAGCUCCCAAGUCCUACCAAACGACUUGAAGAAGGCACUUGCUAUGUGCCACUGCCUUAUACACUGUAUCUGAGUGAACCCAUCUGUUAUUAACAGAUGUUUAAUUGCCAUAGAUAGGAAAUCUGGCUCAUGAUUCACAGUGACAUGAUAUUAUAUAAAGCCAUGCUUUAUGUUAUCAUCAUCCCUCUCUCUCUCUCUCUUUUUUUUUGGCUUUUAGGGCCACACCCGCAGCAUAUGGNACUCUCUCUCUCUUUUUUUUUGUCUUUUAGGGCCACACCCGCAGCAUAUGGAGGUUCCCAGGCUAGGAAUCCAAUCAGAGCCGUAGCUGCCUGCCUACACCACCACCACAACCACAACCACAGCAACUCCGGAUCCGAGCUGCAUCUGUGAACUACACCACAACUCACGGCAAUGCUGGAUCCUUAACCCACUGAGCGGGGUCAGGGCUCAAACCCACGUCCUCAUGGAUGCUAAUUGGGUUGGCUAACUGCUAGGCCACAACAGGAACUUCAAUGUCAUCAUUUCUGAACUGAUAGCCGAUAACCACAAAUUAGUCCAACUCAAAUGGUGACUCUUGGAGCGGUCAAUAAGAAAACAAUCAGUAGAGUAGAUGUUUGUAGGGUUUGUCAGCAUAAGGCAAGGGAUAUUUUAGUGUGUCUAGGUCAAUAUUUCAUGUGCAUAAAUAGAAAUAUGUUGUUCAGUUUAAACAGUGUUCGUCUAUCUGCCUUUGUAUAUGUGACAUCAUAAAGUGGAACACACUAUUGGGGUUUAUUGUUAGGCCCCUCUGUUUGGUAGAGACCUAUAAUCAGAGACUCCACUGUUUAUACACAUGUAGGAUGGUCCUAGAUGGAUCUACUAGGAUGGAUUGUGCAGCCCUGCUUUUCUUCUUUAGAUUUCAGCACUAAAUCUGUCACUAUACCCCUGUAUUAGUCCAUUUGGGAUGCUAAACAAAAACGCCAUAAAUUGGGUUGCUCACAAACAACAGAAACUUGUUCUCACAGUUCUGAAGGAUGGGAAAUCCAAAAUUAAGGCACCAGCUGACUUGGUAUUAGUCAUGGCCAUCUUCCCAAAUGUACCUUCCCUUCACAUGGCAGCCGGGGCAAAGAGUCUCUUUGGGACUUCCUCUAUAAGGGCACUGAUCCCAUUUAGGAAGGAACCACCUUCAUGACCUAAUCACCUCCCACUUCCUAAUAACCAUCACAGUGGGGAGGUUAGGAUUUCAACUUGUUAUUUUUGAGGGGACACAAACAUUCAGACUAUAGCAAUCUCUGACUAAAUAAAAUUCAUGUAGCACAAUAUAUUACAUGAGUCAGGUGGAGGCUGCAAACUAAGAAUUAACAUAGAGAGAGUUAAAUAAUAAAUGAGUCCAAAUCUACUUUGGGUUUAAAAUAUUGGGAUAAUAUCAAGUGGAUCACAGAUAAAUC